rnacentral:rRNA from 1 species
UACGUAGGUGGCAAGCGUUAUCCGGAAUUACUGGGCGUAAAGCGCACGCAGGCGGUUGGACAAGUUCGACGUGAAAGCUCUCGGCUCAACUGGGAGAGGUCGUUGAAGACUGUUCGACUUGAGGUUAUGAGAGGGGUGUAGAAUUCCCGGUGUAGUGGUGGAAUGCGUAGAUAUCGGGGGGAAUACCAGUGGCGCAAGCGGCACCCUAGCAUGAACCUGACGCUCAGGUGCGAAAGCGUGGGGAGCGAACGGG